rnacentral:rRNA from 1 species
AUUGAACGCUGGCGGCAUGCCUUACACAUGCAAGUCGAACGGCAGCGGGGACUUCGGUCCGCCGGCGAGUGGCGAACGGGUGAGUAAUGUAUCGGAACGUACCAUUCAGUGGGGGAUAACUAUCCGAAAGGAUAGCUAAUACCGCAUAUUCCGUGAGCAGGAAAGCAGGGGAUCGCAAGACCUUGCGCUGAUUGAGCGGCCGAUAUCAGAUUAGCUAGUUGGUGAGGUAACGGCUCACCAAGGCUACGAUCUGUGGCGGGUCUGAGAGGAUGAGCCGCCACACUGGGACUGAGACACGGCCCAGACUCCUACGGGAGGCAGCAGUGGGGAAUUUUGGACAAUGGGCGCAAGCCUGAUCCAGCCAUGCCGCGUGAGUGAAGAAGGCCUUCGGGUUGUAAAGCUCUUUCGGCCGGGAAGAAAUCGCAUCAGCUAAUACCUGGUGUGGAUGACGGUACCGGAAUAAGAAGCACCGGCUAACUACGUGCCAGCCGCCGCCGUAACAC